CAAAGCUUCUGGGACAAUGUGUUUUGUCUUAACAACGACAACAACAACCUUUAGGUUCCACUUCCAGAUCAUUGAUUAACCGAAGAAGAAGAAGAGUUGAUGAUCGAUAUCAGUGGAUUUAUCAACGAAGAAGAAAUCAAUUUCUCCCAAGUCUUAGCUUGAUUGAUUAAGUAUCGUUAAUUAUGGUUUUAAUCUUUCUUGUAAACUCUAACUUGAUCUGUUAAUUAGGGUAAUUACCUUUAAUUUUUGUAUGUAACGAU
rnacentral:lncRNA from 1 species